UUCAGCUGCCACUCUGAAAACUGAUUACUACACGAACAUAGCCAAUUUAAUCUGGUUUUGGAAGCUAAGUACAACUGGGUCUGGUUAGUAGUUGGAUGGGAGACCACCAAGGAAUAUCAGGUGCUGCAA
rnacentral:rRNA from 1 species